rnacentral:miRNA from 10 species
GGUAACGGAACCCAUAAUACAGCUGUGGUUGUGCACAGCAGCUGGUUAUGGCGUCCGUUUCCCUCCCACUUCACAGAGGGCGCCGUUG